AUUACCAGUGGUUAGCGCACGCGAUGUAUUUCGUCGGAUAGCGGCGGAAAAUCUGCCGGUAAUACGUGAACCGCCUUUGGGGUCUCUCCAAAAGCAACAGUAAGUACACUCGCGUACCUGCCAUUGCGGCAUCAUCUAAGGUUGGUAGGGUAUUGGCCUACCAAGGACUCAACGCCUACGGGGAAUUAGGGUUUGACUCCGGAGACUGGGCAUGAGAAACAGCCCAGACUUUUAAGAAAGGCAGCAGGCGCGGAAAUUACCCAAUGCUCUUGAGUGAGGUAGUGACCAGCAAUGAGAUGCCCUUCGGGGCUAUCUCUAAGGGAUCUUGUAUCUACAGGUCCUUGUUAUUCGUGGGAAAGCACGGUGCCAGCAGCCGCGGUAAUUCCGUCACGGAGAGUUUUCUAUUGUGUUGCUGUGGUUAAAAAGUUCGUAGUUUGUUUUGCGCCACUGUGAGAAAAUCAAAGCGUUCAUCGCUUGUUACCAGAUCAUCACAGAAUGGCCGUAAGCGGUAUUGGACGUAGUUAAAGGUACUUGCUGGGGACAGGUGAAAUAGGAUGAUCCAGCAAAGACCAACGGUAGCGGAGGCGUUUAACGCAGUCCACGUAUCACGAUCAAGAACUAAAGUCAGGGGAUAGACGACGAUUAGAAACCGUUUUAUUCCUGACCCUAAACGAUGACGCCUAGCUGAUGGGUUCGCACUCAUCUGCUAAGAGAAAUCGGAAGCGUUCGGUCUCCUGGGGGAUUACGCUUGCAAGACUGAAACUUUAAAGUAUUGACGGAGACUUACUACCAGAAAUGGAACUUGCGGCUUAAUUUGACUCAACACGCAAAUCUUACCAGGCCCAGAUGCUUUAAGGAUUGACCGACGAGUGAUCGUUCAUGAUUAGGUAAUUGGUGGUGCAUGGCCGUUUUCAGUCCGUGUCUUAAAAUGUCUGCUUUAUUGCGAUAACGAGCGAGACCUCCGCUAUGACUACGUCAUAGGACAGCUAGCGAUGAGCUAGAGGAAGGUGGAGGCUAUAACAGGUCUGUGAUGCCCUUAGAUAGCCUGGGCUGCACGCGCGUUACAAUGGUGGGUUCACUGUGCUGCUGUUUCGAGAGUAACGGCCACUCACUAAAACUCAUCGUGGUUAGGAUCGGGGGUUGAAAUUGUCCCCCGUGAAUGCGGAAUUUCUAGUAAGCGUGGGUAUGAAACCGCGCUGACUACGUCCCUUUUUCUUGUACACACCGCCCGUCGCUCCUACUGAUUGGGAGGUUUUGGUGAGUUAUUCGGACACC
rnacentral:rRNA from 1 species